AGCUCCAAUAGCGUAUAUUAAAGUUGUUGCAGUUAAAAGCUCGUAGUUGGAUUUGUGACGGGACUGAAUGGUCCACCGCGAGGUGCGCUACUGUUUGGUUCUGUUAUUCUCUCGGGGUUGUGUGGUGUACUUGAUUGUGCGCUGCGUAGCUGCGAGACCUUUACUUUGAAAAAUUAGAGUGUUCAAAGCAGGCGAUGGCUUGAAUACAUUAGCAUGGAAUAAUGGAAUAGGACUUUGGUUCUAUUUUGUUGGUUUCUAGGACCGAAGUAAUGAUUAAUAGGGACAGUUGGGGGCAUUAGUAUUUAAUUGUCAGAGGUGAAAUUCUUGGAUUUAUGAAAGACUAACUACUGCGAAAGCAUUUGCCAAGGAUGUUUUCA
rnacentral:rRNA from 1 species